rnacentral:rRNA from 1 species
AGUGAACGCUGGCGGCGUGCUUAACACAUGCAAGUCGAACGCGAAAGGGGAGCAAUCCCUGAGUAGAGUGGCGAACGGGUGAGUAAUGUGUGGGUAAUUUGCCUUUGAGCGGGGGAUAACCCGGCGAAAGCUGAGCUAAUACCCCAUAACAUUGCAAUUUCUUCGGAGAAUGCAAUCAAGCGAUGGCCUCUAUUUAUAAGCUAUUGCUUGAAGAUGAGCCCACAUCCUAUCACGCUUGUUGGUGGGGUAAUGGCCCACCAAGGCGACGACGGGUAGCCGGCCUGAGAGGGUGUCCGGCCACACUGGAACUGAGACACGGUCCAGACUCCUACGGGAGGCAGCAGUGGGGGAAUUUUUCGCAAUGGGCGAAAGCCUGACGAAGCAACGCCGCGUGGAGGAUGACGGCCCUAGUGGUCUUAAACUCCUGUCUAGCGGGACGAAAAUAUUUGAGGUAAAUAAUCUNAGAUAUUGACUGUACUGCU